rnacentral:siRNA from 1 species
CAGAUAUGAAAGACCGUGAUC